GAAGUACAAAUAUUUGCGGUUGUUCCUGUUCACUGCACUACUCCAGCUCAAAACACCCAGUGAUGCCAGAAUCUAUUCUCACCUUUGUGCUAAUCGCUAUGCACAACAUAAAUCCAGUUUGGAAAAAAGCUGAAGCGACUCAGAACCCCGUUUCCCACUCCUUCCAACAGAUGUUGUUGGCUCAGAGCUCAGGAUUGAGGGCUCAUAGCUGAGAGUCCAGGUCGAAUGGGUGGGUAUUGUUUGCUUUUGUCGACUUUUUGUGAAAUCCUGAUGGAAGCAAUUGUUUAUGCAUUAAAUAAGCCGAUGCCGAGUAGAGCAAAGCAUAGAGGACCUAGAGAUGAGCACCGGAGAUACUCACUUGGUAGACAACUGACAAAAUAUGUAGCACAAUGGCUGAUGGGUAAACAGCAAGUGGGAUGGGGAGGAACAGCUUAGCAAAUCUCAAAUCUGACAGACAGUCAAAUACAAUGGCACUUAGGGGCUGGCCCGGCCCUACCCAGGGGUGAAUUUCCGAACUUCGAGUGUGAGUUUCGCCCCGAAACUCCUUAAGGCCUCUGCACAUUUAUGAUAAAUAUCUAAUUCCAUGAUGGACAGCUCUCAGUAAGAAGGAAACUGCUCGUCAGGGGAUUAGGCCCUCGUUCACAGUCUCAACUACCAGAUUGUUAUCACACGCAAUUUUGUAAUUUGAUGAAAACAAACGAAUUAAGAUACAGAUCGCAAAAAAGAAAAAAAAAAACCCGGUAGUUCCAGACACCAAACAAUACAAGUGACGAGCCAUCGUACCCCCAAUUCGGUUAAUCCCCUGCAAUUGGUAUCGUAUGCGGUAUGGUUUAGUUCUGUCGGUUUAGGUUCACACAACUGUGAAAUUUGAUGCAGACACAAGAUGAAGGUAACACGAUAUGCAUCACCGUGCACCUAUUGUUGUGCAGAUCUGGUAGCCACUGAUUAGUCCGGGCAUCUGUUAAGCCAGAAGGCAACAGUGCUCUACAAUAGGUAUACUCGAAUGUACCUGGUUUAUUCACUUGGGCGUCACCAAAACUGCAAACUAAUUGGGUGCACUUCGUUUCCCACAGGGGGGUACUUUAUAUUACCCAUUGAUCAGGGAGUUUCGUGACAGAAAUUCAAUUAAAUCAAAAUUAAUGUAUGCAAAUAGGGUAUUGUAUAGAAAUCACCCCAAAAUUAAAUGGAAUCGAAAGAAUUCUCCUCGAUAUCUCUAAGUCAGCCGAUCGUACAUAAAAAAGCAAAUCCAAACCAAUGUGAGUUAAGCCAUUUAGGUUAUUAAAGUUUAAGUUUUAACAAUUUUAACUUACCCUCCACGGUCUGUUUCUCAGCAGUUGUAUUCCAACUUAAGGCUCAUACCCAUCGUGCAUACCAUUUAUUUCGAUUAUAAUGGCCCACAUAUCAUUGAUAGAUCGAUCAAAUGUGGAACACUGGUAGCUGGCAGCCGAUGUAAUCGAACGUGAUCUCUCACAGGCCCCACAGGCCACAAAUUAAUCUAUAUGAGUCGCUGCCGCCACCUUGGACAAAAGGAAGAAAAAGAAGUUGCUUUAAUGAAGCAUAUGUGUCGGCUUUUGGACAAAAGAGCGGGCAGUUCGAGACGAGGCAUACAAUUUUUAUGAUUAAUCACAAGAUCGAUGAGAAAAUUAUGCUCAUGACAAAAGGCCGGGCCAGAAGCGGGCAUUAAUCUGCAUUUUCUAGGCCCCAUCGUGAGCGAGAUGACAAAGCGUUUAUGGCGCAUAUAAUUAUUGGUUGCCGCCAAAGAUCAGAUGAGAAACGGACUCUCAAGUGGCAGGAAAUGCCACACAAUUUGCCUUAUUUCCCCUCCACUCCACCGGGACUAUUCUACUUCACUCGUGGGACCUGAGUGGAGAUAAUGUCUUAAGUAUCGGCGACCAAAAUGUCAUUAAUGUCAAGUGCUUAUAAUGACUGGUAAGAUGUUUUGUGAAAAAGUCUUUCAAUCUUGAAAGACUUGACUGGAGGCAUGCAUAAUUUGCUUAUAUCCAGUGGCUACUGUUCCGAUCGAGUCUAUGGGAGGCAAUUACGAGUGCUGUGAUUACGCGAUACGCUCCAUUAUUAAGCGUAUUUGUCGGCUCAGUUCAAAAAUGGCCACACAAUCAAUUACAGUCACCUUUUCAUUGAUUCCCAGCUGAGGCUGUCUUUGAACAACUUUUUCCUGUCUGCACACACUCGAAAUGUUACUCUGUACUGUAU
ensembl:ncRNA lncRNA:CR44732 long non-coding RNA:CR44732